rnacentral:rRNA from 1 species
CUGGGGAGUACGGCCGCAAGGUUAAAACUCAAAUGAAUUGACGGGGGCCCGCACAAGCGGUGGAGCAUGUGGUUUAAUUCGAUGCAACGCGAAGAACCUUACCUGGUCUUGACAUCCACGGAAGUUUUCAGAGAUGAGAAUGUGCCUUCGGGAACCGUGAGACAGGUGCUGCAUGGCUGUCGUCAUCUCGUGUUGUGAAAUGUUGGGUUAAGUCCCGC